CCUGUCAACACUGGGUAAGGAAGAGAAACAUUUGCUAUGACACGGAGAAACCAAAGACGGUGAUGGCAUGCAAAUACUGCUAGACGCCACUGAGCGGUUGUCCUCUAGAGAGCCAUUCUGGACAAUAGGGACCUGCAGUGUCUCAGGUAUCUGCUGUGUCUCAGGACUACAUUGGUUACAUUGACCUCUGAUAAAGAUCUGGCUCAGUGGAUGUGGUCUCUCCCAUCCUCCCUCCCUGCCUGUCAGCCUAGCAGAGAGCAGUCUGGCAACACGUGCUGAGACACUGAAAUUGUUCAGAGUGACCGCUGGGAUGAAGUGAUGUACUGUGGCUGUUAUAACUUUUUAUUCAACCUUUAACCAGAUCACUCUUCGGUUAAUAUCUCUCCUCACCAUGAUGACCUACAAUGCGUACUGUAGGACAAGCACCAACAAUCCAUCCACUCUGAGUGAUACAAAAGCAGCAGGGGACUGAGAGGCACCCGAUCCUGCCCUGAAUAGGUUGUCUUCAGGUCAGUGCUUGUCCCGUCAGCUGCUGACUCCAGGCAGUCAAUGGGCAUUGUUGACUGGUCCCUCUGUGAUGCCAGCACAGCCCUGUGUGUGUGUGUGUGUGUGUGUGUGUGUGUGUGUGUGUGUGUGUGUGUGUGUGUGUGUGUGUGUGUGUGUGUGUGUGUGUGUGUGUGUGUGUGUGUGUGUGUGUGUGUGUGUGUGUGUGUGUGUGUGUGUGUGUGUGUGUGUGUGUGUGGACCACAAGGCCAUGCGGCCUGGCUCAGGGUGAGUGGAAUCCCUGGUCUGAAAUGUCACAUCGCCGUGUUAGAGAGGUACAGACACAUCACAGUCACCCUGUCCCCCUCCUCCUUUUCCUAUUGUGACAGGUAUUUAUACUGACCCUCUGACCACUACCUGCUCUGCUCUGCUUGGUCAAAUCCGAAAUGAUGUCUGGAAUGUAUCUUCUGAGAAUAUCAAUAAAUAAGAAGCCAGCUGUAAUGUAUAGUGUAACCUGUACUUCAAAUAGGAGUUGUUUCCUCAAAACUGUCUCUAUAUAUUUUUCUUCCGAUAUGACUGUUCAUAUCUAAGACAUUCUUUUGUGUAUUGGAAAGAGGUGUGUAGAAUUAAGAGGUGUAGGAGGAAGGUGUGUAUAGGAGAGAAGUGUGCAGCCUAUAGAGACAGAGGUAUAGGAGAGACAUAGCUGGGCCUGGCUACUGCGGAGCCAGGCCCAGCCAAUCAGAAUUAGUUUUAACCCAACAAAAGGGCUUUAUUACAAACAUAAAUGCUCCUCAGUUUCAUCAGCUGUCGGGUGGCUGGUCUCAGACAACCCCGCAUGUGAAGAAGCUGGAUGUGGAGGUCCUGGGCAGGCUUGGUUACAGGUGGUCUGCGGUUGUGAGGCCGGUUGGACGUACUGCUAAAUUCUCUAAAACGACAUUGGAGGCCACUUAAGGUAGAGAAAUUGACAUUCAAUUCUCUGGUUUCAAGUUUCAAGAGAGUUUCAAGUUCCUUGAUGUCCACAUCACCAACGAUAUAUCAUGGUCCAAACACACUAAGACAUUCGAGAAGAGGGCACAACAAAACCUUUUCCCCCUCAGGAAACUGAAAAGAUUAGGCAUGGGUCCCCAGAUCCUCAAAAGGUUCUACAGCUGCACCAUCGAGCACAUCCUGACAGGUUACAGGUCAUCCUGGUAUGGCAACUGUUCGGCAUCUGACCGUAAGACGCUAUAGUGGGUAGUGCGUACGGCCCAGUACAUCACUGGGGCCAAGCUUCCUGCAAUCCAGGACCUGUAUAAUAAGCGGUCAGAGGAAAACCCAUAAGAUUGUCAGAGACUCCAGUCACCCAAGUCAUAGACUGUUUUCUCUACUACCGCACAGCAAGGAGUACCGGAGUGCCAAGUCUAGGACCAAAAGGCUCCUUAACAGCUUCUACCCCCAAGCCAUAAGACUACUGAACAAUUAAUCAAAUGGCCACCAGACUAUUACAUUGAACCCCCCCCGCCCAUUUUUUUUUUAUACCCUGCUGCUACUCGCUGUUUAUUAUCUAUGCAUAGUCACUUCACUCCUACCUACAUGUACAAAUUACCUCUAACCUGUUAUUGUUACUUUUUAUAAUUUUUUACUUUAGUUAAUUUGGUAAAUAUUUUCUUAACUCUUCUUGAACUGCACUGUUGGUUAAGGGUUUGUAAGUAAGCAAUUCAUGGUAAAGUCUACACUUGUUGUAUUCGGCGUAUGUGACAAAUAAAGUUUCAUUUGAUUUGAUUUGGUGGACAUUCCUGCAGUCAGAAUGCCAAUUGCACACUCCCUCAAAACUUGAGACAUCUGUGGCAUUGUGUUGUGUGACAAACCUAUACAUUUUAGUGUAUUUUUAUUGUCCUCGACACAAGGUUCAUCUGUGUAAUGACCAUGCUGUUUAAUCAGCUUCUUGAUAUACCACACCUGUCAGGUGGAUGGAUUAUUUUGGCAAAGGAGAAAUGCUCUCCUACAGGGAUGUAAACAAAUUUGUGCAUUUUUGAGAAAUAAGCUUUUUGUGCAUAUGGAACAUUUCUGGGAUCUUUUAUUUCAGCUUAUAAAACAUGGAACCAAUACUUUUUUUUCAGUAUUUAUGACUUCCGAUAUUAAUAAUUGGGAAAUUCAUUGAAAAUAUUGGUAAAAAUGAUUUGAAUAGGCUCAUCUCAGCACUGUGAAUUUGUAAGGGAAAACCUGGCCAUGCAUUCAAAUUUAUAAAAGGUAGCCUACUGUAUAUAAGGUAUCCUUUUCCGUUUUUUACUAUGCAUAAUUAUCAUACCAAAUUAGAAAUAUUGUAAGAAAAAGUGCAAGUUCUUUUUAACUUGAUAUAUUUUCACUUAUAAAUUAAAAUGAAAAGAAAAACAAAAAUUGUUGUCUGACACCUAGU
ensembl:lncRNA